UACGUAGGGCGCAAGCGUUGUCCGGAAUCACUGGGCUUAAAGGGCGCGUAGGCGGGCUGCCGCGUCCGGGGUGAAAUCCCACGGCUCAACCGUGGAACGGCCCCGGGUACGGGCGGCCUCGAGGGGGGUAGGGGCGUGCGGAACUGUGGGUGGAGCGGUGAAAUGCGUUGAUAUCCACAGGAACUCCGGUGGCGAAGGCGGCACGCUGGACCUUCACUGACGCUGAGGCGCGAAAGCUAGGGGAGCGAACGGG
rnacentral:rRNA from 1 species